GGAGAGGUGCCAGAGUGGCCGAUUGGGCACGACUGGAAAUCGUGUGUGCCCCUAACACGGGCACCGGGGGUUCGAAUCCCCCCCUCUCCG
rnacentral:tRNA from 1 species